UACGAAGGGGGCUAGCGUUGCUCGGAAUCACUGGCGUAAAGCGCACGUAGGCGGAUUGCUAAGUCAGGGGUGAAAUCCUGGAGCUCAACUCCAGAACUGCCCUUGAUACUGGCGGUCUCGAGUCCGGGAGAGGUGAGUGGAACUGCGAGUGUAGAGGUGAAAUUCGUAGAUAUUCGCAAGAACACCAGUGGCGAAGGCGGCUCACUGGCCCGGUACUGACGCUGAGGUGCGAAAGCGUGGGGAGCAAACAGG
rnacentral:rRNA from 1 species